AUACGGAGGAUCCGAGCGUUAUCCGGAUUUAUUGGGUUUAAAGGGAGCGUAGGUGGAUUGUUAAGUCAGUUGUGAAAGUUUGCGGCUCAACCGUAAAAUUGCAGUUGAAACUGGCAGUCUUGAGUACAGUAGAGGUGGGCGGAAUUCGUGGUGUAGCGGUGAAAUGCUUAGAUAUCACGAAGAACUCCGAUUGCGAAGGCAGCUCACUAGACUGUUACUGACACUGAUGCUCGAAAGUGUGGGUAUCAAACAGGAUUAGAUACCCUGGUAGUCCACACAGUAAACGAUGAAUACUCGCUGUUUGCGAUAUACAGUAAGCGGCCAAGCGAAAGCAUUAAGUAUCCCACCUGGGGAGUACGCCGGCAACGGUGAAACUCAAAUGAAUUGACGGGG
rnacentral:rRNA from 1 species